rnacentral:hammerhead_ribozyme from 1 species
ACCUAACCGAAGAGUCCCAAAUAAGACGAAACGCGCAUUCUAGAU